CACGUGGCUCUGAGCGGGGCGGGGCCCGGCGGAGCCAUGGUGCAGCUGUGGAGGGAAGCUGCUGCUGGACGUGCUGAGGCUCCGGGUCACCCAUCACCAGCAAACCAACAGGGAAGUGGAUAACUCUGUGAGGACCACGAGGGACUCUGGACCCCGGCUGACAGCCUGGAGGAUGGAGACCCCAGCGACUGGUGACCCAGAGACCCAGCUCAGGAGACACAGCCGGUUCUGGCCAGUGGGAGGACAAUGGGCUGCGGAGAGAGGACCCCGGUGAC